CACCUUUCUUAUUUGUACUCCUAUAUGUUUAGAGUGAGAAACCACUACCAAUCUAGAAUCUUUGACACCUGCUCACAUCUGUUUGAUGGCUUAUCCUCCAGAGCAAGUGAGGCUAACUUAGUCUUCUUUGGGGACUUUGAAGAAAAGAACAGAAUUUUAGCAGGGUAGAAGGAACCCAAUCAUAUUAGCUACCAUUUGACUGGAUCUAGUGGAUUACUAUUUGAUAGAGCGAGCAUGAAUU